UACGUAGGGUGCGAGCGUUAAUCGGAAUUACUGGGCGUAAAGGGUGCGCAGGCGGUCUCGUAAGCUGGGUGUGAAAGCCCCGGGCUUAACCUGGGAAUGGCAUUCAGGACUGCGAGGCUUUGAGUGCGGCAGAGGGAGGUGGAAUUCCACGUGUAGCAGUGAAAUGCGUAGAUAUGCGGAGGAACACCGAUGGCGAAGGCAAUCCCCUGGGCCUGCACUGACGCUCAUGCACGAAAGCGUGGGGAGCAAACAGG
rnacentral:rRNA from 1 species